GGCUUGAUAGGUCAGUUGGCAAGAGCAUUGCACCAGAAUUGCAAGGUCCUGGGUUCGAAUCCCGUCCAAGCCG